UGGGGAAUUUUGGACAAUGGGGGAAACCCUGAUCCAGCCAUCCCGCGUGUGCGAUGAAGGCCUUCGGGUUGUAAAGCACUUUUGGCAGGAAAGAAAUGUCAUGGGUUAAUACCCCGUGAAACUGACGGUACCUGCAGAAUAAGCACCGGCUAACUACGUGCCAGCAGCCGCGGUAAUACGUAGGGUGCAAGCGUUAAUCGGAAUUACUGGGCGUAAAGCGUGCGCAGGCGGUUCGGAAAGAAAGAUGUGAAAUCCCAGAGCUCAACUUUGGAACUGCAUUUUUAACUACCGGGCUAGAGUGUGUCAGAGGGAGGUGUAAUUCCGCGUGUAGCAGUGAAAUGCGUAGAUAUGCGGAGGAACACCGAUGGCGAAGGCAGCCUCCUGGGAUAACACUGACGCUCAUGAACGAAAGCGUGGGGAGCAAACAGG
rnacentral:rRNA from 1 species